rnacentral:lncRNA from 10 species
AAUUUUCCAAGUGAGGAAAGUUGCUCUUGCAUCAAGCUUAUAAUACAAUGCUUCUUGGUGGAUAUAAUUCUUCCAUUAUAAGCUCCAUCCAUCAUGCCAAGAACUACUAUCAAUGCCUUUUACAAAAUGAGGUCAUUGGAUUGCAGAGUUGGCUUUCGAGAAGAUUUUGUGGCCUUUCUCAGCUGUCUAGGUGCUGUAGGUGCUGUGUUUCUAUGGCUGCAAGGAUGAAGAUUAUGAUAUGGAUGGAUGAUGGAAGGAAGGAUCUAUGAAUAUAAUAUUUGAGUUUCAGUUACUGGCCUUUACUUCUUCCAGAAAGUCAGGCCAAAAGAACAAAGUCCUAGAAGGUCUUCUGGUGAGUCACAUUCUGAGCAGCAAAACUGGCAUUGAGGCAUAAUUAACAUUCAGAUUGCCCCCAGUUUCUAUGGAGAUGAGUCUAGCCCCUCGGGGGAGUAGUGAUGGAUGUGUAAUCUCCAAGAUAAGUAACUGACAGGCUGUAUUCUAGGAACUCAAAAUGAAAGAAAAAUAGGAUAUGUUUCUUACUUUAGAGACCACAGAAACUAGUCUCCUAUAUUGGACCUUCUUGGUAAGAGCCCCAUCCCUUCAAAGGCCACAUGAAUCUGAAGGCCAAUAUUCAAGUCCUAUGCUGUUAUUAUCAACUUGGAUGCAGCGAGUCAUCUGACCUGACCUGUGGACACAGCCUCUGCAUCUGUUGAGAGGAUUAAAGAAGUCUAAUUCACAGUUACUGCAAGUAUAAUGGAGCUGAGAGGAUGGUGUGAGCAAUAGCACCAAUGUAAGAGUUAUCAUAGAUUAACACACUACUGGUUCUGAUGCAGCACAUAAGGCAAGUACCAUGGGAAUGCAGAGGAGAAAGAAAUUAGGGAGAUCAACAAGGUUUCACAAAGCAGCUAUGGUGAACUUGGCCUUGAGAGUAGGGUUUUCCUGGUGAAGAAAAACAUUCUAGGCAGAAGAAAUAGCAUACACAAAGACUCAGAGGCACCAAAGAGUCCUGUGUGUGUGGUGAAUAAUGAACAGAAAUUGCCAUAGAUUAGGUGGGAAGUCAUUGGUGUUAAUUUAUAGGUUUGAUAGAAGCCAAUUCUUGAAGGGUUUUGUAUGCCACAGUAAAGGACAGAGUUUUAUUUAAGGAGCCACUGAAAAGCUUCAUUCAUUCUACAAAUAACUUUUUCGGUGAGCCAGUAUGUGCCAAGCAUGGUUGUAAGUACUUGUAAUACAUCAGAAUAAUAAUAAAAAGAGUAUUCAUGUACCCACCACCCAAUUUAAAAACUAAGAAAUUGUCAAUCCUUAUGUAAGUCUCUGUGUUUCCCUUGUCAAUGGAAUCCUUCUCCUUGCUCCCCAAAAGUAACCCAAACGCUAAGUUUUGUGUUUGUCAUUUUCUUGUUUUUCAUUUCAGUUUUACUCAUAUGUGAGGAAAGGGGCUUAAGAAAUAUUUGCUCAAUUGAUAAAUAAAAAUAAAAAUAUAUGCCCCUGUGUGGGUGGUCUCCAGGGCCCUUUCUCACAGAUAUUGCUUCUACUUCUGUUGUUGUAAUUCCAGUGCUCCCAACCAGUCUUCCAUCCUCAGUUUUCUUGACUUAUAUGCUGGUGUAUCUCUGUAUGAAAUUGUUCUAUUUACUAUUGAAGUAACUUUAUACAAAUUACUCUUGGAAUCCCUUUUCUUUGACAUAGCACCUAUUUAUAAUUUUUAUCUCUUCUUUCUAUCUUUAUCCACACGUAAGUGGAAUAAUCACAAUUGUAGAUAUUUUACAUUUUGUGCUUCAGUUUUUCACUUUGUACGUUUCUGUAGUUUUUGUAUUUCUAGUCUUUGUAUUAAUUAUUUUUAUGACUGCACAAUAUUCUAUCAAGCAAAUAUAUUAUAAUUUGUUUGAUCAUAAUUAAAUUGCUGGAUAGUCAGGCUGCUUCCCA